AUUGUACGCUGGCGGCAGGCCUAACACAUGCAAGUCGAGCGGAUGAAGGGAGCUUGCUCCUGGAUUCAGCGGCGGACGGGUGAGUAAUGCCUAGGAAUCUGCCUGGUAGUGGGGGAUAACGUCCGGAAACGGGCGCUAAUACCGCAUACGUCCUGAGGGAGAAAGUGGGGGAUCUUCGGACCUCACGCUAUCAGAUGAGCCUAGGUCGGAUUAGCCAGUUGGUGGGGUAAAGGCCUACCAAGGCGACGAUCCGUAACUGGUCUGAGAGGAUGAUCAGUCACACUGGAACUGAGACACGGUCCAGACUCCUACGGGAGGCAGCAGUGGGGAAUAUUGGACAAUGGGCGAAAGCCUGAUCCAGCCAUACCGCGUGUGUGAAGAAGGUCUUCGGAUUGUAAAGCACUUUAAGUUGGGAGGAAGGGCAGUAAGUUAAUACCUUGCUGUUUUGACGUUACCAACAGAAUAAGCACCGGCUAACUUCGUG
rnacentral:rRNA from 1 species